rnacentral:rRNA from 1 species
CAGCAGCCGCGGUAAUACGAGGGGAGCUAGCGUUGUUCGGAAUUACUGGGCGUAAAGCGCGCGUAGGCGGCUUUUUAAGUCAGAGGUGAAAGCCCGGGGCUCAACCCCGGAAUCGCCUUUGAAACUGGAAAGCUAGAAUCUUGGAGAGGUCAGUGGAAUUCCGAGUGUAGAGGUGAAAUUCGUAGAUAUUCGGAAGAACACCAGAGGCAAAGGCGACUGACUGGACAAGUAUUGACGCUGAGGUGCGAAAGCGUGGGGAGCAAACAGGAUUAGAUACCCCGGUAGUCCCUGUCUCUUAUAC